AUAUGAGAUAUCUUUGGCACUUGCAUUCCGUAUGUAAAGAAAGAAAGAAUGUGCUAGGGCUGAUUGCACUUGUGAAUUGCAGAGGAAGAAGAAGAAGAAUUAUAAGUGCUAUUUGUUUUGCAUUUUGUUUCUCCAUCAUCACAAUAAGACAUAGAAGGACGGGCCUGGCGUAGCGGUAAAGCUACUCCUUGGUGACCUGGUAGUCGAGGGUUUGAAUCGCGGAAACAGUCUCUCCGUAUGUAGGGGUAAGGCUGCGCAUCAACCCUUCCUUAGGCCUCGCUUAAGCGGGAGUUUCGUACACUGGAUUUUGGCUGAGCAUAAGAAUGGGAAGUUGGCAAUUAUUACAUGACCGUUGGUUUUGUGUUUGGUUGUUCUGUAUGCAUUUGCAAGCAAAUCAGCAUUGUGGUUGUUUCUUGUUGAGGCUUGAACUUUCAAUCCUCUGUUAUGCUUCUUUUGGUUUCCAUAUUCCUGUACUUUUCUGUUAAUAAUUUAGGGGCCCUUUUUCUUUCUUCCAAGUUUUUCAUUUGAAUUUGCACAUAUUGCUAAGCUUGUUAUUCGGACCUGUUUGGUAGUGUUUUCAAACAAAAAUUCUUCUC